rnacentral:ncRNA from 1 species
AGGCUUGGUCCUGACUUUAACAUCAGCUUUAGCCCAAUUUACACAUGCAAGUCUCCGCAGACCCGUGAGAAUGCCCUCAAUCCCCCGCCCGGGGACGAGGAGCAGGUAUCAGGCACAAAUUUUAGCCCAAGACGCCUUGCCAUGCCACACCCCCAAGGGAACUCAGCAGUGAUAAAUAUUAAGCCAUAAGUGAAAGCUUGACUUAGUUAGAGCUAACAGGGCCGGUAAAACUCGUGCCAGCCACCGCGGUUAUACGAGAGGCCCUAGUUGAUGAACACGGCGUAAAGGGUGGUUAAGGUUUAGUUCAAAUAAAGCCAAAAGACCUCUUGGCUGUCAUACGCCCCUGAGUGCCCGAAGCCCAUAUACGAAGGUAGCUUUAAUAUUAGCCCACCUGACCCCACGAAAGCUGAGAAACAAACUGGGAUUAGAUACCCCACUAUGCUCAGCCAUAAACCUAGACGUUACUUCACACAAACGUCCGCCAGGGUACUACGAGCAUUAGCUUAAAACCCAAAGGACUUGGCGGUGCCUUAGACCCCCCUAGAGGAGCCUGUUCUAGAACCGAUAACCCCCGUUAAACCUCACCACUUCUGGUCAACCCCGCCUAUAUACCGCCGUCGUCAGCUUACCCUAUGAAGGACUAACAGUAAGCAAAGUGAAUAUACUUCAAAACGUCAGGUCGAGGUGUAGCGAACGAAGUGGGAAGAAAUGGGCUACAUUUUCUUUAUAAAAAACAAGAAUAUUACGAACAACACUAUGAAAUUAGUGCUCGAAGGAGGAUUUAGUAGUAAAAAGGAAAUAGAGUGUCCUUUUGAACCCGGCUCUGAGGCGCGUACACACCGCCCGUCACUCUCCCCGCUAAAUAGCGACAACUGUUAUUAACAUUUAAGCACAAGUAAGGGGAGGCAAGUCGUAACAUGGUAAGUGUACCGGAAGGUGCACUUGGAUCAAAU